GAUGAACGCUGGCGGCGUGCCUAACACAUGCAAGUCGAGCGCGGUCCCUUUGGUGCUUGCACCAAAGACGACUGAGCGGGCGUAGGGCAAGGUACGCUAGGUUAACGUGCCUGUACAUAUGGAUAACAUGCUGAAAAGCAUACUAAUACAUAAUAACGUAUAUUGAAGGCAUCUUCGAUGUAUCAAAGCGUUAGCGGUACAGGAUGGACCCGCGUCUGAUUAGCUAGUUGGUGGGGUAAAAGCCUACCAAGGCGACGAUCAGUAGCCGACCUGAGAGGGUGAUCGGCCACAUUGGAACUGAGACACGGUCCAA
rnacentral:rRNA from 1 species